AGCAGAGGAGGAGGAGGAGGAGGAGGAGGAAGAGGAUUUACGGUGCCGAGAGGCUAACAGAGAGGGUGAAACAGUCACCAUCGAACCGGCAACCGGAACAGAACGAAUUUGGUCCCUUGUUAACGCGGGCAUUUCGAAUUCAAUCAUUGCACCAAUGAUCUAGCAUCAUCUACACAUUUUGGGCACGGAUAGCAUACGGACAGACACAUCCGGAUUCAUUACUGAUUAUAACUAUUUACCAUUAAAAGAAACCUAUAAAAAAAAAAAAAAAACCCUGGACAUUGGUUUGGAGAGGAAUAAAAAGUGAUGCAAAAAUAACAUAUAUACGUUAUGGAGAAGAAGCAGUUUUUAAUUGGAAGAUGAAAACUUUGUGACUGGGAGACGAGAAGAAGGAUAAGAAGAGGAACGAAAAUAAAAAGAAAUUAAGAUACAAGAUAAAUAUGAAGGGACCCUGAUAAUCAUGAACGCAGUCAGACCUGCAGGAUUCCUGCAGGAGGUGUGGGAGGAACACCUGAACCCGGAGUCUUUUUUGUUAUCCGCCACGACGCCUAAGGUAAUCCCGGCUUUCGGCGACGACGUUCUCGCGGAUGUCGAGAAGCCGGGUCACGGGGAUCUCGUACAACGCAAGGGUAAUCGACCGCCAAAAGCUAUACUCCCGGCCAUCUUAUGUACAUACAUACCGUAGACAUAACACUGUCAAAAUGGAAGGGGAGGCGAAGGGGCCGACAGAAAACCACGAGCCACCCUAUGUUCGUUGUUCGACGUAUUUAGGGAUGAUGAUGCCAACUUCAAAGGGUUGUUGUUUUAAAAUGGCACAGAGAUGGUGGAGCUGUCAAGCUAACAUGGCAAACUGUCAAUGCGGAACAAUGAUAAAGCAUCUGGUCGGUUGUCGUUUGUAUCACCGUGAUCAUCGUCAUCAAGAAGAACAAAAUGAAGCUGAAAUAUUGUCAAUAAUUUGUCUGCAGUCGAUUGUGAGGGAGGGAUUAGUUACGAUAGUUGAAAAACGAUUAUCGUUGAAGCCUGAAGAUGAAUUUCCAAAUGAAAAUAUUAUUACGAAAACUGAACUGCGUUCCAGAAAUAUCACGAGAAAGUCAGCUAAUGGUUUUUUAAAUCCAAAUUCAUCGUACCCACGUAUCCCCUGUAACCCAUUCGAUUAUUGUAAAUUUAACGAGUAAAAUGAACAGGCGGGAAGAUCCGCUUUUGCGUCAGCAUCGCAGCAGAUUGAUGCAGUUGGUUGAAGUUACGAACAUCAGACCAGGUCGUGGAAACGGAAAACGUCGGGGCCAGAGAACCGCGCAGGGAUCUAGUCCCGGCAACGCUGGAAACGGUGGAUCCGGCAGCAGAGUGACUCUGCAGGACAUCGUGAGGAGCGAUCCAGGCUACACGUCGAAUAUAGAACACCUGGUGUUUCCCGAAAGAAAAAAUAGCAACCCGAACUUAGCUCCCGGAGGAGGCGUUUCACCGCCCACCAAUAAAAUUAAGGGAAACAAUAAACCGGGAAAUUUGGUAACGGCUAAUUCUCUGGGAAGAACAAAUUCUUCUUCUACAUCUUCCUCUGGUAUGUCGCGCAUCGCCGAAGUUUUCGCUCGUCAUUACGCCCGCGGCUCUUCUCAGGAUUCCAAUUCUGCCUUGCAGACACCCAGAAAAAAUCACGUGAACAGCGCUUCCCUGGACAGCGGGGUUACCGGAAGCGUCAGACAGCAAAUUCCCACAUCUUCCGGAACGAGCGGUUCGGGUACCGGUAGAGGAACGAACGGAGAUCGUGGUCGAUGGCUUUCAGCGGGUACUAAGAAAUCCCAGACUUCUCAUUCCCAACAGAAUCCGUCUCAGCCGGCUCGACAGCACUCUGCAGAGGACGGUCUGAGCAGUCGAGGGGAUAGCAGCGGUCCCCAUAAGGCCCCACGGCGUCAGCUCAGUCCCUCCGUGGACCCCGUCGAACACUCGGCCACGCCGAUCGCACCGCGUUCCUCCGAAAGGGGCCCAAACGUAUCGAUACUGCAUCUGCGGGGCGCUUCCUUAGAUCCAAGAGAUUCCACGAACCCCCAGAUUACGUCCGGUUCCUCUUUAACGUCGAAACAGCAGGUGGCCGUAUCCUGCGGUAAAUCCGGGAGCACCGGAGUUUCUUCCAGAAGCGGUUCUUCUUAUAACCGUGGGACGAACGUUCCCGGUAUUAUCGGUCGUCUGGACGGCGCCGGUUCGGGAUCCUCGACGUUCCCAUCCUCCGCAUCCGUAGCCACGAAGUCCCGUAAUCAGGAUAGUCAAGAGAAUCGCUCGUCCACGGUCGGAGGCAAUCACCAGCGUAGACGCGACGACAACUUCCUCUCGGGAAGCGGAGGAACAUCCGGCGAACUUUUUGCCAGCGGAAAUUGCAGCCGGGAACUUUCCCCGGUGCGUUGGUGCGACCGCGAGGUAGACGGCGUUUAUCUCGGUAGGUCGGGGUGGGUUCAAGUGCAGCAGAGAUCGCUCGACGAGAACAGGAGAAUGGGCUACGAAACCGCCGCCAACGCCGCUAUCUCUACCUUGCCGCUACCGAGGAGGACCGUGAAGCUCGCCGACUACCACUGCAGCAACAGCGAGCCAGGUAACUGUCCGGAUCUCGUCUUCGGCUCGCCCAGACCAGAUUUUCUGGCGCUCCACGCCGCCGCCCAGGAUCUGGAACCCCCGCCGGUUAGGACCUCCCCGCAUUCCAUACCGGAGUCGUUCUCCCCGCCUUCGAUCACGCCGAUCAUAUCUCCGCCACCGGCCUUCCAGGACACCGCCAGCAGAAAGACGAACAAUCGAAACGUUCGCGGCAGGCACGGAUUCGGAAAGCCGCCGUUUCUGCCGAGGUCGAACGCCAUCGUGGACAGCGACGUCAUCAGCCCACCGCCCUCUCGGUCGCCCUCGCCCUCGAUCUCACCCUGCCUAUCGCCGUCCGCGAACGUCGUCAAUUGGGGAUCUCUGGUGUCCUCGCCGACGAGGGGCAAUCCAGGCGGUCGGGUCGCCAGGAGGCAGACUCCUUCGCCGGGGUCGACGACGCCCGGACAACAGCAGCAGCAGCAGCAGCAGCAGCAGCAGCAGCAGCAGCAGCAGCCCUACAGACUGGCGCAGGCCAAGUCCCUGGAGGAUCAAACGGGCAGUUGCAGGAGGUCUCAGUUCGUGCAGAGGUACAAGGAGUCGUCGUCCUCCUCUUCGUCGUCCCUCGGAUUCCGGAGUCUCGACAGUUGCGUCAGCAGAGGCGCGGCUAUGCCCAGACUCGCCGAGAACACCGACUCGUCCAUAGAGGGUUACGAGGACGGCGACGAGGACGACAAUCCCAGUUCGUCGGCGAACCCCUUGCCCGCGGGACUGGCGAACCUCUCCCCGGAUCCGGGUAGAUCCAACGGAUCGGAAAGGGUAUCCCCUUCCUCCGGACGACCCGGUAGGGGCGGACAGUAUCACUGCAGCAGAGGUCAGAUACCCUGCCGACGUUCCCCGGGGUCUGCGGGUGAAGGCGGUAAGCAAAUGGCUUUCAAUUCACCGUCGUCCUCGUCGUCCUCUUCGGGGAGCAACGACAGACAGGGAAGAUCGCCCACCCCGAAUCCCGGCUACAGGAAAAAUAAUAACACCGCCAACAACAACAACAACAACGGCGGACAGUCGAGGCAAAGGAUGAAUCAACCCUCGUCGCCCGAGUCGCUGCAGACCAGAGUGAGGAGGUCGAGGAGUCUUCAACUACCGGAAAGAAGAUCGCCCGGUAACGGAGCACCCCAGUUACACGGCAGGGGACAUUUCAGAGACAACGUCAACGAUCAACACAGACUCGUCGUCAAAGUACCGGCGAACAGCGAACGUAACAGCUCGGAGAGAUCGAAACGACACGUUUUGCCCAAUCGCAAGGCGCAGUCGACGGACAGCGCGUUGAACGACGAACUUCUUCGGGAGGCCGAAGUGGUGACGGAAUUUCUGUACGGGACACGGAGUCGCGCGGCUGCCAGAAAUCUUUUGACGAGCCGUCAGUACGAACGUAGGGACGAACAGGUGGGCCAGGAGCAAAGGAGAUCGGGGACCGGUACGGGGUCCUACGAGGUUUAUUUCGUACCGCCGAGUUCACAACAGCAACAAAGACAGCAGCCGAAGCAGGGCCAUCAGGGUAACAAGCCCAACCAGCGGCCGAGGACCCUGCAGAGGGGAAGUACGACGCCGAACGCCUCCGAUUUAUCGCCGGGGGAACAACAGGAGAUAACGGGGACCCGCGCAAGUCCCGAAUCUCAGUCGAGAUGCAACGGCGGUACUUGUAGUUUUUGGCCCUACUGUUCUCAGAGGGAUUCCCAGCUCUACUCGCCGGGUCAGAGCGCGGGCGCCCCGGCGAGUGGAACUUUUUCCGGAUCAAGUGGUAAUAUGAGAGCUUCUCAGAGUUAUCCAGCCCACAAUAGACUAACCCUUCAGGACACAGGGCAGCUACAUGGAACGUCGGUUGGAAAGAAUAGCGCGUCGUCGUCACCGGCGUCCUUGGAACAGGUGGACGACAGAGAAUCGUUGAGUAAGAAUCGCGAGAAAAGAAAUCGGGCGAGGGAUCAAGCCGAGGUAACGUCGUCGUCGUCGUCGUCGUCGUGGAACAAGGUCAUCGAUUCCAGGGAGAGGGACAGGGGUGAAAGGUCGACGCAGAAAAGUUUGUUGUUGAAAUCCGGAUCUCGUAGAUCGCCGGGUAGUAACGGCGGGACGUUGGAAUCUAAUCGUAAGUCCGCAAACGGUAAUUUCGAAGGGUCUUCGUUAGGCCCGAACAAACUUUCCCCGUGCAGCGGCGGCGUCGCUACGCCCUCGACCUCAUCCUCGUCGUCCAGCAGCGAUAUCUGGGUAACGACGUCGGACAGGACGGUUACCAAGAGUCCCAGAAACGCAAAAAGUUCGGGCGCUUCUACCCCCAUGGAGGACGCGAUGAUAGGACCCUUCGCCAGUCUUCCGGACACCGGAAGGGACGCCAUUCUAUCGAGACCGGGCAGCGCACCGGCCCAGAGGGAGGAAACUGGAAACGAGGACUCUCCUUUGGACCCUCAGCAAAGAUCUUUGUCGCUUCCGAAGUCCUUCCUCGCACGCAACGACCUCGAAAGCAAAAGCAGCAGUAACGCAGGUUCGACACCUUGGCAUCGCGGUUUCAACGAUUAUCAAAGAUCUAGGACGAGUCCGAACAAUUGUCCGAUACAACAGGAUAUUCAACCACCUCACACAGCACCAGUUUCACCUUUACACGAACACCUGGGUGGUCUGCAUGGAUUGAAGGAUCGACGCAGAGCUCCAACCCUUAACAAGGCUCAGCGACGCGCAAAGGCGUCCAGUACCCCGGCUCUUCUCGACCGAGAUCAGGACGGCCGUCAGUGGUCAGCAGAUGAGGAGGAGAGGGUUGUCGGUUUACCGAUUGCAACCGAACAUCCUACGGUAGAAGCAUCCAUACCACUCGUAGGUAGUCAUCAUCAACAGCUGAGGGUGCAACAUCACGAUCAAGAUUCGGGAAUAAUAUCAUUGGGUGUUACCGGUAAUAUCGGUGGUCAGGUACAAUUGCAUCAGGUGGUUUCUGUUCACGGGGGCGGUGUUACCGGUGCGGUUGUAAACAGACAUCAACAACAACAGAGUAGCGCGGCCGCUGUGCAGAACAAUCAAGAGAGUGUUUUGCAGAAAUUUCGAAAAAGCUUCUCGCUCAGAUUCAACAAAAAAGGAAGCAAGGAAAGCUCCGAAGGUGGCGAUGGGCCUGGCAACGACGAAUCGAACAUUUUGAACAUCGACGAUGACGACGAAAGGGAACCACCCCCGCCCCCGGCACCCCAACAAUUGAUAACGCAGAACUCGAUGCAGAAUAGAGAGGAUCAAACGAGUGAUCAAAAAUUCCGAUUCGGUCCUCUGGUUUGGAGGACGAGCAAGGAGAGAAAAAAAAACAGCAAAGCUGCUAGGAACGCUAAAUGCAACAGCGGUGACAGUGGUAUACAAAUUGAGAUGGUAUCUGGUGGAGCGUUGACUGGGGGGAUUGGAGGCAGCGGGGGAGGCGCGCAAGGUGCCGGUGAUAGCUCUGAAUCUCACGACACCGACGCUCCAGAUGACAUGGACAGCCCUCCCGCUCUCCGGAGAAGAGUUACCGACAAAUCUAGACCCCAGUCCGAGCUCAUCAACCAGAUACUUAUAGACAAAUUCAAGGCCGAUCUUCAGAGCAGAACAAGUCGUCAUCAUCACGUAAGAAGAACGAACAGCGAUCUUGGGGGGCAAAGACUUCUCCAAUGGGAUACGAGAUCAGGAUAUAGCCAAACUCAUAAUUAUCGCAGAAUGUUGUCCACCCCAUCGCCCAUUAAAACCAGACCACCAAGACUCAGUCCGAGGCAUUCCUCCAACGAUAUUGUUACACUGAGAAAUAACUCGAAGGGGAGGAAUGUCAGGACCAAUUUAAGACGUUCCCUGAGUCAACCACUGGGCAUUAAUCAACUAUCACCAUUGAUGCGCACCAGAACCGCAGGUGCCAGAGUGCCCGGUGGUAAUGUGCUGUCAGAAGAUGAGCACGAUCCUAGAUGCGGUGGAGGUACAUCGGAGGAUGAAAUGAUGUCCGAUUCGGAAACCUCCGUAGCUUCUUUGUCGGACAGAAAAAAAUCUAUGGAACAAACCAUGGAAGAGGAUAUAGCUAUACUCGCAGAAGCUGUUUGGGACCACGUUGCGAUUGAUCCAGAAGAAUUAGCCUUCAGAGCCGGCGAUGUCAUUGACGUUUUGGAUACCUUUGACAGGGCCUGGUGGUGGGGAAGUUGUAAAAAUGAGCACGGAUGGUUUCCAGCUGCUUUUGUCAGGCUCAGAGUCAGUCAGGAGGAUACCGUAGAGGAUUGUCUCGCUGCCAUGGCAUCUGGAGUUUCGACAAAUUCACAGCUCAGAAGACGUACGAGCGUUUCUCUCCUGUCUAACGAACAAGUGCGAUCUAGUGUUGUGAGAGAAUUGGUGCAAACUGAACGUGAUUUUGUUAAAGUAUUGAGAGACAUAUCUAAGGGUUACAUAGCUGAGUGUAGGAGAAGGACAGACAUGUUCACGGAGGAUCAAAUAGACGCUAUAUUUAUAAACCUUGAAGAGCUUCUGGAUUUUCAAUCAGAUUUUUUAAACGACUUGGAAUCCGUUAUUGACUGGAAUGCACUUCACAAAAGCUGCCUCGGGGAAUGUUUUCUUAAAAGGAAAGCGGGCUUCAGAAUGUACUCCGAAUACUGCAACAGCCAUCCAAUGGCGAUGGCGACUCUCCAGGAACUUUAUCAGCACAAUAGAUAUAGUAAAUUUUUUGAGGCGUGCAGAUUAAUGAGGGGGUUAAUCGAGAUUCCAUUGGACGGAUAUCUCCUUACACCGGUUCAAAGGAUUUGUAAAUACCCCCUGCAGCUCGCAGAACUUUUAAAAUACACGAAGGCCGAACAUCCGGAUUUUGAAAAAAUCCAAGAAGCUCUGGAAGCAAUGAGGGGAGUCGCGGUUUUGAUUAACGAAAGAAAACGAAGGAUGGAAAGCCUCGAGAAACUUGCCGCCUGGCAGCAAAGAGUGGAAGGAUGGGAGGCCGAGGACUUGAUCGAAGUUUCAUCGCAGCUGAUUCAUCAAGGUGAAGUCAUUAGAGUGACGACUGGGAUGUGGACCAAUACAAUAACGCUUUUUUUAUUCGACCAUCAAAUAGUCUACUGUAAAAAAGAUAUUCUUAAGCGAAAUACUUACGUCUACAAAGGGAGAAUCUAUCUGGAUACCAGUGAAGUCAUCGACGUCCCUGAUGGCAAGGAUCCUCAGCUCGGGGUUACCGUCCGAAAUUGUUUGAAGGUUUACAGCUGCGUUCGCGAUAAAUGGCUGCUAUUCUGCUGUAGAACCGCAGAAGAAAAAAGACAAUGGCUCGCAGCUAUGGCCGAGGAGCGCAGGCUUGUGAAGCAGGAUAGAAACGAUGGAUUGGAAUUUCCUCCCGCAGCAAGACAGCUCGCCAAAAUCGCCGCGACUAGGGAACGAUGCAGACCGCCCAGCAAACCGAGCAAUAAAACCUACAAGAGAAACUCCGCUUACGAAGUGCCGAUGCUCGCCGGACAGCAGGGUGCGGCGACGAAUUCUCUCGGCAGAAAAGUCGGCACCUGGUUUACAUUUGGUAGCAGUAAAAAGGGUACGAGGCACCACAAUCAACCGUCCUGAGCCAGGCCCACCUUCGUUCCAUACAUCGACUUGUAAAUUGGAUUAAAUCGUCCGAGGGAAGUUUAUCGUUGUGGUUCGAAGUUUCAGGGACUAGAAAUGAAGAAAAAACGAAGCAUUCGAUCAUCUGAUCACGCACUGUAUCUGAACCUGGUGGGAUCACGAUAUCCGUCUCUUAGAUCUGUGACAACUGGAUUGAUAGGUGCUCCAAUCGGAGAAUCAACGGCUG
rnacentral:misc_RNA from 1 species